AGAGUUUGAUCAUGGCACAGAUUGAACGCUGGCGGCAGGCCUAACACAUGCAAGUCGAACGGUAACAGGAAACAGCUUGCUGUUUCGCUGACGAGUGGCGGACGGGUGAGUAAUGUCUGGGAAACUGCCUGAUGGAGGGGGAUAACUACUGGAAACGGUAGCUAAUACCGCAUAACGUCGCAAGACCAAAGAGGGGGACCUUCGGGCCUCUUGCCAUCAGAUGUGCCCAGAUGGGAUUAGCUAGUAGGUGGGGUAACGGCUCACCUAGGCGACGAUCCCUAGCUGGUCUGAGAGGAUGACCAGCCACACUGGAACUGAGACACGGUCCAGACUCCUACGGGAGGCAGCAGUGGGGAAUAUUGCACAAUGGGCGCAAGCCUGAUGCAGCCAUGCCGCGUGUAUGAAGAAGGCCUUCGGGUUGUAAAGUACUUUCAGCGGGGAGGAAGGGAGUAAAGUUAAUACCUUUGCUCAUUGACGUUACCCGCAGAAGAAGCACCGGCUAACUCCGUGCCAGCAGCCGCGGUAAUACGGAGGGUGCAAGCGUUAAUCGGAAUUACUGGGCGUAAAGCGCACGCAGGCGGUUUGUUAAGUCAGAUGUGAAAUCCCCGGGCUCAACCUGGGAACUGCAUCUGAUACUGGCAAGCUUGAGUCUCGUAGAGGGGGGUAGAAUUCCAGGUGUAGCGGUGAAAUGCGUAGAGAUCUGGAGGAAUACCGGUGGCGAAGGCGGCCCCCUGGACGAAGACUGACGCUCAGGUGCGAAAGCGUGGGGAGCAAACAGGAUUAGAUACCCUGGUAGUCCACGCCGUAAACGAUGUCGACUUGGAGGUUGUGCCCUUGAGGCGUGGCUUCCGGAGCUAACGCGUUAAGUCGACCGCCUGGGGAGUACGGCCGCAAGGUUAAAACUCAAAUGAAUUGACGGGGGCCCGCACAAGCGGUGGAGCAUGUGGUUUAAUUCGAUGCAACGCGAAGAACCUUACCUGGUCUUGACAUCCACGGAAGUUUUCAGAGAUGAGAAUGUGCCUUCGGGAACCGUGAGACAGGUGCUGCAUGGCUGUCGUCAGCUCGUGUUGUGAAAUGUUGGGUUAAGUCCCGCAACGAGCGCAACCCUUAUCCUUUGUUGCCAGCGGUCCGGCCGGGAACUCAAAGGAGACUGCCAGUGAUAAACUGGAGGAAGGUGGGGAUGACGUCAAGUCAUCAUGGCCCUUACGACCAGGGCUACACACGUGCUACAAUGGCGCAUACAAAGAGAAGCGACCUCGCGAGAGCAAGCGGACCUCAUAAAGUGCGUCGUAGUCCGGAUUGGAGUCUGCAACUCGACUCCAUGAAGUCGGAAUCGCUAGUAAUCGUGGAUCAGAAUGCCACGGUGAAUACGUUCCCGGGCCUUGUACACACCGCCCGUCACACCAUGGGAGUGGGUUGCAAAAGAAGUAGGUAGCUUAACCUUCGGGAGGGCGCUUACCACUUUGUGAUUCAUGACUGGGGUGAAGUCGUAACAAGGUAACCGUAGGGGAACCUGCGGUUG
rnacentral:rRNA from 1 species